AUACAGAGGGUGCAAGCGUUAAUCGGAAUUACUGGGCGUAAAGCGCACGUAGGUGGUUCAUUAAGUCAGAUGUGAAAGCCCCGGGCUCAACCUGGGAACUGCAUUUGAAACUGGUGAGCUAGAGUAUGGUAGAGGUAAGUGGAAUUCCAGGUGUAGCGGUGAAAUGCGUAGAUAUCUGGAGGAACAUCAGUGGCGAAGGCGACUUACUGGACCAAUACUGACACUGAGGUGCGAAAGCGUGGGGAGCGAACGGGAUUAGAAACCCCAGUAGUCC
rnacentral:rRNA from 1 species